rnacentral:rRNA from 1 species
UACAGAGGGUGCGAGCGUUGUUCGGAAUUAUUGGGCGUAAAGGGCGCGUAGGCGGUGCGGUAAGUCACCUGUGAAAUCUCCUGGCUCAACUGGGAGCCUGCAGGCGAAACUGCCGUGCUGGAGUGUGGGAGAGGUGCGUGGAAUUCCCGGUGUAGCGGUGAAAUGCGUAGAUAUCGGGAGAACACCUGUGGCGAAAGCGGCGCACUGGACCACAACUGACGCUGAGGCGCGAAAGCUAGGGGAGCAAACAGG